UGGGGAAUAUUGGACAAUGGGCGAAAGCCUGAUCCAGCAAUGCCGCGUGAGUGAUGAAGGCCUUAGGGUUGUAAAGCUCUUUUACCAGGGAUGAUAAUGACAGUACCUGGAGAAUAAGCUCCGGCUAACUCCGUGCCAGCAGCCGCGGUAAUACGGAGGGAGCUAGCGUUGUUCGGAAUUACUGGGCGUAAAGCGUACGUAGGCGGUGACUCAAGUCAGAGGUGAAAGCCUGGAGCUCAACUCCAGAACUGCCUUUGAAACUAGAUAGCUAGAAUCUUGGAGAGGUCAGUGGAAUUCCGAGUGUAGAGGUGAAAUUCGUAGAUAUUCGGAAGAACACCAGUGGCGAAGGCGACUGACUGGACAAGUAUUGACGCUGAGGUACGAAAGCGUGGGGAGCAAACAGGAUUAGAUACCCAAGUAGUCCCUGAGCGGGCUGGCAAGGCGCAU
rnacentral:rRNA from 1 species